UGACAUCACNGAACUUACAGAGAUGNUUUGGUGCCUUCGGGAACUCUGAGACAGGUGCUGCAUGGCUGUCGUCAGCUCGUGUUGUGAAAUGUUGGGUUAAGUCCCGCAACGAGCGCAACCCUUAUCCUUUGUUGCCAGCGGUCCGGCCGGGAACUCAAAGGAGACUGCCAGUGAUAAACUGGAGGAAGGUGGGGAUGACGUCAAGUCAUCAUGGCCCUUACGAGUAGGGCUACACACGUGCUACAAUGGCGCAUACAAAGAGAAGCGACCUCGCGAGAGCAAGCGGACCUCAUAAAGUGCGUCGUANUCCGGAUUGGAGUCUGCAACUCGACUCCAUGAAGUCGGAAUCGCUANUAAUCGUAGAUCAGAAUGCUACGGUGAAUACNUUCCCGGGUCUUGUACACACCG
rnacentral:rRNA from 1 species